rnacentral:rRNA from 1 species
GACGAACGCUGGCGGCGUGCCUAAUACAUGCAAGUCGAGCGGAAGUUGGAGAGCUUGCUCUUCAACUUUAGCGGCGGACGGGUGAGUAACACGUGGGCAACCUGCCCUGCAGAUCGGGAUAACUCCGGGAAACCGGUGCUAAUACCGAAUAGUUUUCGCCACCUCCUGGUGGCGUACGGAAAGACGGUUUCGGCUGUCACUGCAGGAUGGGCCCGCGGCGCAUUAGCUAGUUGGUGGGGUAACGGCCCACCAAGGCAACGAGGCGCAGCCGACCUGAGGGGGGGGUCGGCCACACUGGGACUGGGACACGGCCCAGACUCCUACGGGAGGCAGCAGUAGGGAAUCUUCCGCAAUGGACGAAAGUCUGACGGAGCAACGCCGCGUGAGUGACGAAGGUUUUCGGAUCGUAAAACUCUGUUGUGAGGGAAGAACAAGUACCAACUAACUACUGGUACCUUGACGGUACCUCACCAGAAAGCCACGGCUAACUACGUGCCAGCCGCCGCGGUAAAAC